rnacentral:misc_RNA from 1 species
GAUAUAAAAAAUUGAACAAAUUGCUUAAUUACAAAGUAUAAAUACACAUGGAGGUGGUCGAGUACCCUCAAGAACACAAGAAGUUUGAAUGAUCCAGGCUUACCAUGGAUGAAAGGAGAUUAUAGUGUCUGUUUGAUCUUGAAACUGAACUUAAUCGAACAUAUUAGUAGUAGAUGCAGAAGAAGAGCCCAUGUCAGUUCGGAUAGUUAGGGUGUUUUGAGUUUGGGUUUCAAUUAGCUUCUGAUUUUGCCUCUCUUGAUGAAAAUCUUUCAUGGCUUUAAACCUCAGAUCAUUGGAAUAAGUACUUGCCUCUGGAAUUUCAUCUGGGAUAGCAAUUCGUCCUUCAAGCAUAGACACUACCUCAGACAUGAUAGGCCUGAGUGAGGGAGUGGCACUAGUGCACAAGAGUGCCACUUUUACUAUUUUUUCCACUUCGUCUUUAUUAAUAUCAGACCCCAAUCUCUGAUCAAUGAGCUCCUCUAUACUCCCACUUUGUUGCAAGUGACAGGCCCAAUCUAAGAGACAAA